UGGUGGGUAGUUUGACUGGGGCGGUCUCCUCCCAAAGAGUAACGGAGGAGCACGAAGGUGGGCUAAUCACGGUUGGACAUCGUGAGGUUAGUGCAAUGGCAUAAGCCCGCUUGACUGCGAGAAUGACAAUUCGAGCAGGUGCGAAAGCAGGUCAUAGUGAUCCGGUGGUUCUGAAUGGAAGGGCCAUCGCUCAACGGAUAAAAGGUACUCCGGGGAUAACAGGCUGAUACCGCCCAAGAGUUCAUAUCGACGGCGGUGUUUGGCACCUCGAUGUCGGCUCAUCACAUCCUGGGGCUGAAGUCGGUCCCAAGGGUAUGGCUGUUCGCCAUUUAAAGUGGUACGCGAGCUGGGUUUAGAACGUCGUGAGACAGUUCGGUCCCUAUCUGCCGU
rnacentral:rRNA from 1 species